UCAGGCUAAGGCUAGAGGGAUUCCUUACAAGAAGAAGAAGAAGAAGAAGCCAACGACGGAGAUGGGUGGUGGAAGAGACGACUCUUCUUCUUCCUCAUCCUCUUCCUUCAGCUUCUCUUAAGAGGUUCUCCAUCUUUAUCAAAGACCUUUGUGGUAAUUUAUUUCUCCAUUAACUAUGUUUUUUUUAUUUUAAUUUUAUUGAAUAUAUAUAUAUAUAUAUAUAUAUAUAUAUUACUUCGUUCGUUACUACAAUAAAACUAAAACAAUANNNNNNNNNNNNNNNNNNNNNNNNNNNNNNNNNNNNNNNNNNNNNNNNNNNNNNNNNNNNNNNNNNNNNNNNNNNNNNNNNNNNNNNNNNNNNNNNNNNNUUUUUAUUUUAUUUUAUUGUAAUAUAUAUAUAUAUAUAUAUAUAUAUAUAUACCUUUGCGUUCAUUUUUACACAUAAAAACAAAACAUCUAGAUACACAUAGAUUUUGUUUCUUGGUCUCUUCUUGACUAGAAUCUUAUAGAAACUGUGGUUUUACUGGGUAAGAACAUACAUCCUUUCUAUUGUAGAAUUGUCUAUAAAAUCAAAACCCUAAUUGGAUAAAUACUUAGGCUAUCCAGUUCUGUGAAAGUCUUGAUCUGAUUUUAGAACAUUAUUGAUUUUAAGUGCAGAUUAAGGGACUUAGGUUUUUUGAAUGGAAGUGGAUUUGUGUUUUGAGAAUAUUUUAUUUUAAAAUAAAUUUGGCUCUUUCAAUGAAAGUAGAUUUUGGUUUCGGAAUAUUGGUAAAUACAGAAAAUAGUAAAAUUUUGAUUGGAUGAUUUAUUAAUCUAAUCGAUCUUCUAGUAUCAAAAGUAAAAAGCUUAGAUUGAUUCCCAAACCUUAAUUUGAAAAUGCAUUCCAUUUAUUUAAUAUAUAUGUGUGGAAAUUAAAGGUUUUUCAAGUUAUCCUCGAGAAAUACUCAUUCAAGAAUUGAAAAAAAAAAAAAAACACAUUUGAUUUAACCUGUUUACAAAGAGAGCAAAAGAGAUCUCUAUAUAUACAUACAUAUAUUUUUACCACUGUUGUUUAUAUAAACAGUGGUUCUAGAAAGUAAUGAUUGGCUCUUGGAAUGCAUCUCUUUAAAGAUUUUUGUAGAUUUGGUUCCCCAUUGAUGAUCAAGAGCGCAAUUGAUUGAACCUUUUUCCCCCAAUUUUAUAACCUAGAUAAAUCGAUUAAUGAUUGAGAUUCCAUGAUUGUUCUCAAAGGUUAAUAAGGUUAUCUCAGAAUAGAAAUUCACACAUAUACUUUAAUAGUAUUUUAAUCCAUGCUUUAAACUAUUGCAAUGUGGGUCUUAGGAGAAUGAUCUCAAUAGGAACAAAUCCACCAAAACUUCAACAUUAUUAGUCAUGUUAAUUGUGUAAUUAGGACCUCAGAUUUUAGAGCUUGGAUUGUGACUUAUUAAUUGGACUUUUUAUGAAGGCCGCUUGUUGAUAAAAUACAAAAUAAGUAAGGGCUGUUUAAUUAUAAUGCUUAAACAUUUAUACAUUGGCAUUUUCUGAGAUUACAUAAUUAGAUUUUGUGGGACAGUAAGUUUCUCUUUGAAUCCACCUAAAUCAUUUUUAUUUCUCUGAUCUCAAAUAUAGUUUCAUUCUUAAUUAGGUAAAUAAAUAAAUAAAUAAAUUGCUCGAAUAAUCUUUAUGCGUCUUUCUUUAGGGUCUUUGUCACCACUAACUUUGGAAAAGCUUGAAAGUUUGUUUUGUCCCCCGCAAAGCUUUAUAGAUUUUGUUCGAUGAUACAAUGUACGUACGAAGCAUAAGUCACACGAAACAUAAGUUAAUGAACAUAUCUUGGAUGGAUUGGCAUUGAAGCAUGCAUGCAUCUCGCAUAGUUAUGGCUAAACCUUUGAUUUGUAUAUAUAUACCUUAAUUAAUCUUUCUGCAUCUUGAGAAUUUAGCUAAGCGCGUAUACUAUGUGUUUAAUUAUGGCAAUUAAUCAGUGAACUAAUCUUGCUACAAUAGAGAUUGGCAGGAUCAGUGAGUUUCAAAGAGGGAUGAAAUGUAAGAAACCUUAAAUCUAUCUACUGAUGGUCAAGAAGUCAAAGGGAAAUGGUGGUACCUUCAACACAUCUUUCGGCCCAUUUUAGCCGCUCAUCGUUCCUUCCUCUAUUUCCGUAGCUCUCGGUCAUAUAUAUCGUUCUUAUUUUCUUAUUAAGCUAUAUUU
rnacentral:lncRNA from 1 species